rnacentral:lncRNA from 1 species
CCCUUCUGUUCACCAGUGCUUGAAUGUGGCCGGGCAACCAGCUAGAACAGAUCACUGCCAGGCUUCAGCAGCUCCUGAGCUGCCAAGAGGCUGCUUUGGCAAGUCAUAGGUUUGCAGAAAGAGAGGAGUGCUGACUUGGAGCAUCCCUGAGAUGUUGUGUGCUACCAGCUUCAGUGCUUCCAGCCUUGAAUGUGGAUGGAAUUAAGUCUCGUGCCAUACCCACUUGUUGUCCACAAGUUGCUGGGACCUUGUAUGUCUCUGACAGUGAAAGGACGAUACUGCUGAAACACACGUGUGUAAAGUGGCCAAAGACUGACAGAAAGGUAGAGUAAAAGAAAACUUUGAGAGUCAUUUUUUUCCAGAUUAAAUUGUUUGAUCUGGCACUAAUACAUCACUCAGGCAAGCUUCAGUUAAAGUCGGUUCUGCUCUCUUUUUAUGUGCCUCCUACUGCCUCUGAAUAAAUCUUACACCCUUCUCCA